AUGUACAGAUGAAAAAUAACACAAUCUACCCCAACAAUAUGUUUAUCAAGACAUUACAAUAUAAUACAACAAAAUUUAUUUUACUAUAUAGAAAGGUGAAGCAAGAGACGACCAAGGGCAGAAUAGUCUUUUAAUCCAUACAUUAAGGGGCAAAAUGAUAAUUAAUAUAUUAUAUUAAGCGGUGCUCAAUUAAUUGAUCAGUUCUAGAAGCCUCCGUUUCUGUACCAUUCUCUUAACCUGUUUCACACAAAUAUCAUGAUUUCAGAAGCCUCCAUUAGUUCUCUUCAUCUUCUCAGCAAGUUCUUCCAAUUGAGAUCAUGGAUAUUGUUGACUGCUUAUUUGUAGCCAUGUUUAAUAGCCUGAAUGAGAAAAGCAAAAAGGAACUUGAAGCCAUUGAAAGGCAAUACCCUUCUUCUUCAGGGGUCCUAAUGGCGUUAUAGCUGGAGUUGGUGCCCAACAUUCUCAGAGAAAAUACGUGCGGUGACAUAUGGCGUUAUAGCCUCUACGGAGAAAAUUAGCAUCUCAGCCAUGAGAACGGCAUUCUAUGAAAUUAUGAGGAAACACCGCGUACGACCUGUUGGCUUUCUACCAUGUGUUACAUUUGGGUGCAGUGUAGCUACUUGUGCGGUCUUGCUUGUGUAUGGAGAUGGAAUAGAAUAUGCUGCUGAAUCUCUUCCAGCAGCUCCUUUAAUUGCCAGUUUGGGUCGUGGAAUUCAAAGUUUGCAUCAAGCUUCUAAGGCAGUGAAACAAACAGAGAACUCCAUGAUCCAAAAGUCUAUAAAGUCUCUUGUGUACAGAUUUAAGAAGGUAAGUUUCUCAUAAACUGUUCAUUAGUUAAUAAGUGAGCCCUAAAUUUUUCAUGCAAAUAGAUUUUAGGAAAGAGGCGCAAUUUAUGAUACCUGAUUUUGUAUGUAUCACAUGUUUUGUGUCAAGAAAAUCCAAUAAGAUGUUAUUGGAGUUUGGAGGAUUUUUCACCAUGUUGAUUAUAGUUCUUUCAUGUUUCUAUCAACGGCUAGCCUAACAAAUUUUACUCCGCAAUCAAAUUUAACAAAUUCUGUAUCAAUUUUUGCAGUAACUUGCAGUGUCUAAUAUGCAUUCUGAAAUUUGACUUAUUAGUUGUUGUUAGUUACUGUGAAGUUCUUUUUUUCUUGUUCUAAAUUUCAUUUGCUGCAUGUCUCUUACUAAUACUUAAGCAAGUCGAAUGUUUUUGUACCAAGUUAUUCUUUUGUAUCCAAUUAUAAAAUUUUAAAAUCUCUAUGGAGUAUUAUGACCAUUUUUCAAGGUAAGGCCUCUGUUCAAGAGUACUUAGAUCCAAAAGAGUAGCGAAAAGUUAUUGUGUCAAGUUUGUUGACAACUUUGUGAACUUAGGAUCCCUACUGUCAUUUUUCAGUUAUGAUGAAGGGCAUUGAAUGAGAACUCAGACAAGAAUCAAAGUGGGAAGAAUGAAACAAUUGUGGAGAAAAAAAUAAUUGAUUAGACCACUAGAUUUAUUAAAAAUCAAAAAAAGUUGUUAAAGCCUAAAAUGAUGAUCGAAGAAGCGUUCAUAAAUAAUAGGACAUGAAUUUAUGAAAGACAUCCCACACCUGGCUUUGAUUGCAUAAAUCCUUUCAGCUUAGAGAAAUUUGUCCCUUUAGUUUUUCCCACAAUUAAUUGGGUCCAACCUUUUCUGUUUCAGGGGAAAGAAAAACUUCUGGAAUGUUAUAGUUUUUCAAUGUUAAUUAUGAAAUCAUAAGUUUUGAAGUUGCUGAAGUGGAGCCUUGCGUAACUGUUAAAGUUGCUUUAUGUGACCUGGAGGUCACAAGUCGAAGCAGUGGAAACACCUCUUGCAGAAAUGCAGGGUAAGACUGCAUACAAUAAACCAUUAUGGUUCAGCCCUUCCCCCGGACCCUGUGCGUACUGGA